GAAAUAUAAUUUUAAACAUUAAACUUCUAAUUUAAUUUAUAGUGAAUAAAUUCAUUAAUAUUUCU
rnacentral:tRNA from 1 species